GACGAACGCUGGCGGCGUGCUUAACACAUGCAAGUCGAACGGAAAGGCUUCUUUCGGGGGGUACUCGAGUGGCGAACGGGUGAGUAACACGUGAGUAACCUGCCCUUGACUUUGGGAUAACUUCAGGAAACUGGGGCUAAUACCGGAUAGGAGCUCCUGCUGCAUGGUGGGGGUUGGAAAGUUUCGGCGGUUGGGGGUGGACUCGCGGCUUAUCAGCUUGUUGGUGGGGUAGUGGCUUACCAAGGCUUUGACGGGUAGCCGGCCUGAGAGGGUGACCGGCCACAUUGGGACUGAGAUACGGCCCAGACUCCUACGGGAGGCAGCAGUGGGGAAUAUUGCACAAUGGGUGGAAGCCUGAUGCAGCAACGCCGUGUGCGGGAUGACGGCCUUCGGGUUGUAAACCGCUUUCGCUCAUGACGAAGCUUUGUGUGACGGUAGUAGGUAAAGAAGCACCGGCUAACUACGUG
rnacentral:rRNA from 1 species